rnacentral:piRNA from 1 species
UUCUCUUCAAUCUGUUCAGACUCUUCUGGG